rnacentral:rRNA from 1 species
AUCAUGGCUCAGAACGAACGCUGGCAGCGUGGAUUAGGCAUGCAAGUCGAACGGGAUCGGGAAGGUAGCAAUAUCGGCCCGUGAGAGUGGCGGAAGGGCGAGGAACACGUGAGCAACCUGUCCUUGAGGUGGGGAAAACCGUUGGAAACGACGGCUAAUACCGAAUGCGGCGCCCGGAGACAUCUCCGGCGCGCUAAAGGGGGCCGCAAGGCUCCCCCUCUUCGAGGGGCUCGCGCACCAUCAGCUUGUUGGCGGGGUAACGGCCCACCAAGGCUCACGGUUAGCUGGUCUGAGAGGAUGGCCAGCCGCACUGGGACUGAGAUACUGCCCAGACUCCUACGGGAGGCUGCAGUCGAGGAUCAUUCGCAAUGGGGGAAACCCUGACGAUGCGACGCUGCGUGGAGGAAUGAAGGCCCUCGGGUCGUAAACUCCUGUCAUGAGGGAAAAGGCGAAGGGACCCAACGCGUCCCCUAGUUGAUGGUACCUCAAGAGGAACGGGCGGCUAACUCUGUGCCAGCAGCUGC